GAUGAACGCUGGCGGCGUGCUUAACACAUGCAAGUCGAACGAGAAGUGAAGACGGAAACCUUCGGGCGGAAGGCUUUAUUUCGAGUGGCGGACGGGGGAGUAACGCGUGGGUAACCUGCCUCAUACAGGGGGAUAACAGUUGGAAACGACUGUUAAUACCGCAUAAGACCACAGCACCGCAUGGUGCGGGGGUAAAAACUCCGGUGGUAUGAGAUGGACCCGCGUUCGAUUAGCCAGUUGGCGGGGUAACGGCCCACCAAAGCGACGAUCGAUAGCCGAUCUGAGAGGAUGACCGGCCACAUUGGGACUGAGACACGGCCCAAACUCCUACGGGAGGCAGCAGUGGGGAAUAUUGCACAAUGGGGGAAACCCUGAUGCAGCGACGCCGCGUGAGUGAAGAAGUAUUUCGGUAUGUAAAGCUCUAUCAGCAGGGAAGAAAAUGACGGUACCUGAGUAAGAAGCCCCGGCUAACUACGU
rnacentral:rRNA from 1 species